GCUUCGCGAGGUAUUUUAAUACAGAGGA
rnacentral:piRNA from 1 species